rnacentral:tRNA from 1 species
GGAGGGGUGCGAGAGCGGCCGAAUCGGAUGGUCUCGAAAACCAUUGUGGCGCAAGCCACCGUGGGUUCAAAUCCCACCCCCUCCGCCA